CAGUUCUUCUUCUACUGGUUUUGUGGGUCAGGGAGCUACUAGGGAAUAAGCUUUCACUUCUCUCUUUUACUCUGUUUCCAAAACGAGUGGUAAAAUAUGCAGAUGCCGAAAGGAAGAAGUUCAUCUUCAGAAGUGCCUCAAAGGACAUCUCCAGGGACACCACGAGCUCCUCAUCAGCUCAAAACACCUG